rnacentral:rRNA from 1 species
GACGAACGCUGACGGCGUGCUUAACACAUGCAAGUCGAACGGUAAGGCCCUUCGGGGUACACGAGUGGCGAACGGGUGAGUAACACGUGGGUGAUCUGCCCUGCACUUCGGGAUAAGCCUGGGAAACUGGGUCUAAUACCGGAUAGGACUCCGGCCUGCAUGGUCUGGGGUGGAAAGCUUUUGCGGUGUGGGAUGGGCCCGCGGCCUAUCAGCUUGUUGGUGGGGUGAUGGCCUACCAAGGCGACGACGGGUAGCCGGCCUGAGAGGGUGACCGGCCACACUGGGACUGAGAUACGGCCCAGACUCCUACGGGAGGCAGCAGUGGGGAAUAUUGCACAAUGGGCGCAAGCCUGAUGCAGCGACGCCGCGUGAGGGAUGACGGCCUUCGGGUUGUAAACCUCUUUCAGCAUCGACGAAGCGAAAGUGACGGUAGGUGCAGAAGAAGGACCGGCCAACUACGUGCCAGCAGCCGCAGUAA